rnacentral:pre_miRNA from 7 species
UUCUUUGAGUAGUGAUAUUGAUUGAUAAUGAAAGAACCUAGUGGAGAAACCCCCACUCAACUCCCGAUUCAGUGUGCACCCAAGAAUCACAAACAGAACA